GGGGCUGAUCGGUUUCGACUUGGGACGUUAGUUCCAGGGGAAGCGGGUCGAGGAGCCAGCGUCAUCUCGUAAACGAUCGCUGGAAACCAAUAACUGCCAACGCUAAGCGCAGUUCCUUCGCUCUCGCCGCCUGAGCGGUGAUCGAAGCGUCCACCCGGGUAUCCGUCUCCGGCCCGGACGUGGGCGUCAUCUAGGAGACUUGCCGGUUAACUGCUGUCGGGGUGGUUGAUCGGGACUCAAUCCCGACUGAGCCUGUCGGGGACGUGUCCGUGCGAGCCCCGGGGCUGAGAAAUGCGAUAGCACGGACUGCACCCGGAGAAGACCUGGUUCGACGCUCGAGGACCGGGGUUCGAUUCCCCGCAGCUCCACCG
rnacentral:tmRNA from 1 species